rnacentral:rRNA from 1 species
GACGAACGCUGGCGGCGUGCUUAACACAUGCAAGUCGAACGGAAAGGCCCUGCUUUUGUGGGGUGCUCGAGUGGCGAACGGGUGAGUAACACGUGAGUAACCUGCCCUUGACUUUGGGAUAACUUCAGGAAACUGGGGCUAAUACCGGAUAGGAGCUCCUGCUGCAUGGUGGGGGUUGGAAAGUUUCGGCGGUUGGGGAUGGACUCGCGGCUUAUCAGCUUGUUGGGGGGGUAGUGGCUUACCAAGGCUUUGACGGGUAGCCGGCCUGAGAGGGGGACCGGGCACAUGGGGACUGAGAUACGGCGCAGAGUCCUACGGUAGGCAGCAGUGGGGAAUAUUGCACAAUGGGCGGGAGCCUGAUGCAGAAACGCCGCGUGCGGGAUGACGGCCUUCGUGUUGUAAACCGCUGUCGCCUGUGACGAAGCGUGAGUGACGGUAAUGGGUAAAGAAGCACCGGCUAACUACGUG